UACGUAGGGUGCAAGCGUUGUCCGGAAUUACUGGGCGUAAAGGGCGCGUAGGCGGUUGGAUAAGUCAGCUGUGAAAACCACGGGCUUAACUCGUGGCCUGCAGUUGAGACUGUCUGGCUUGAGUGUGGGAGAGGAGAGUGGAAUUCCUGGUGUAGCGGUGAAAUGCGUAGAUAUCAGGAGGAACACCGGUGGCGAAGGCGGCUCUCUGGACCACAACUGACGCUGAGGCGCGAAAGCCAGGGGAGCAAACGGG
rnacentral:rRNA from 1 species